GACUGGUAUCCGAUGGAAAAGGAGGCUGCAUCAAGCCAGACCUUUGUCCUUGUUCUCACAAUGCAGCUACUUACCAACCAGGAGACAGCAUCAAGGUCGACUGCAAUACCUGCACUUGUAAAGACAGAAAAUGGCAGUGCACAACUAACCUGUGCCAUGGAACCUGUGCCAUUUAUGGAGAUGGACACUACAUUACUUUUGAUGGGAAACGAUUCACUUUCGAAGGAGACUGUGAAUACACUCUUACAAAGGACUACUGUGGAAACAACAAUGCCAAUGGCAGCUUCAGAGUCAUCACUGAGAACAUUCCCUGUGGAACAACAGGCACCACCUGCUCCAAGGCCAUCAAGCUCUUC